rnacentral:rRNA from 1 species
AACAGGAUUAGAUACCCUGGUAGUCCACGCCGUAAACGAUGAGCACUAGUUAUUGGAGGUAUUGACUCCUUCAGUGACGCAGCUAACGCAUUAAGUGCUCCGCCUGGGGAGUACGGUCGCAAGACUAAAACUCAAACAAAUUGACGGGGGCCCGCACAAGCGGUGGAUUAUGUGGUUUAAUUCGAAGCAACGCGCAGAACCUUACCUAGGCUUGAACUCCUACGAACCUCUUGUAAUGGAGAGGGUGUCCGCAAGGAAAUGUAGUGAGAGGUGCUGCAUGGCUGUCGUCAGCUCGUGUUGUGAAAUGUUGGGUUAAGUCUCGCAACGAGCGCAACCCCUAUCGUCUGUUGCCAGCAUUAAGUUGGGCACUCUGACGAGACUGCCUGGGUUAACCAGGAGGAAGGUGGGGAUGACGUCAAGUCCUCAUGGCCCUUAUGUCUAGGGCUACACACGUAAUACAAUGGCGCGUACAAAGGGAAGCGAACUCGCAAGGGGGAGCAAAUCUCAAAAAGCGCGCCUCAGUUCGGAUUGGAGUCUGCAACUCGACUCCAUGAAGUUGGAAUCGCUAGUAAUCGGAGAUCAGCACGCUCCGGUGAAUACGUUCCCGGGCCUUGUACACACCGCCCGUCACACCAUGGGAGUUGUUUUCAUUUUAAGACGUGACUCUAACCGCAAGGAGGAGAGCGUCUACAGUGGGAGCGAUGACUGGGGUGAAGUCGUAACAAGGUAACC